rnacentral:rRNA from 1 species
UACGGAGGGUGCAAGCGUUAAUCGGAAGUACUGGGCGUAAAGCGCGAGUAGGUGGUUCAGUCAGUCAGAUGUGAAAGCCCCGGGCUCAACCUGGGAAUUGCACCUGAUACUGCUGAGCUAGAGUACGGUAGAGGGUAGUGGAAUUUCCGGUGUAGCGGUGAAAUGCGUAGAGAUCGGAAGGAACACCAGUGGCGAAGGCGACUACCUGGACCGAUACUGACACUGAGGUGCGAAAGCGUGGGUAGCAAACAGG